GAUGAACGCUGGCGGCGUGCUUAACACAUGCAAGUCGAACGAUGAAGCCCAGCUUGCUGGGUGGAUUAGUGGCGAACGGGUGAGUAACACGUGAGUAACCUGCCCUUGACUCUGGGAUAAGCCUGGGAAACUGGGUCUAAUACUGGAUAUGACUUCUCAUCGCAUGGUGGGGGGUGGUAAGAUUUAUUGGUCUUGGAUGGACUCGCGGCCUAUCAGCUUGUUGGUGAGGUAAUGGCUCACCAAGGCGACGACGGGUAGCCGGCCUGAGAGGGUGACCGGCCACACUGGGACUGAGACACGGCCCAGACUCCUACGGGAGGCAGCAGUGGGGAAUAUUGCACAAUGGGCGCAAGCCUGAUGCAGCGACGCCGCGUGAGGGAUGACGGCCUUCGGGUUGUAAACCUCUUUCAGUAGGGAAGAAGCGAGAGUGACGGUACCUGCAGAAGAAGCGCCGGCUAACUACGUG
rnacentral:rRNA from 1 species